rnacentral:rRNA from 1 species
CUUCUUGAAAAAAUAGGAAGUCGUGCCUGCCCACUGAAAGUUUUGAAGGGCCGCGGUAUUCUGACCGUGCAAAGGUAGCAUAAUCAUUAGUCUUUUAAUUGUGGACUGGAAUGAAUGGUUUGACGAGACAAGAACUGUCUUUUUUAUAAAAUUUGAAUUUUACUUUUAAGUUAAAAGGCUUAAAUAGAAAAUAGGGACGAGAAGACCCUAUAGAUCUUUAUUGUUUAAUGAAAAUUUAAAAUGAUUAGAUGUUGGAUUAUUUUGAGUUAAAGAAUUUUGUUGGGGUGACAUAAGAAGAGGAAAACUUCUUGUUAUUUGGACUUUGAUUGAUGGUUCGGUGAUCCUAAAAUUGGGAUAAAAGAUUAAGAUACCUUAGGGAUAACAGCGUUAUCUUAUUUGAGAGUUCCUAUCGACAAUAAGGAUUGCGACCUCGAUGUUGGAUUAAGAUUAUAGUUUGGUGUAGUAGUUAAAGUAUUUGGUCUGUUC